rnacentral:rRNA from 1 species
UACGUAGGGGGCAAGCGUUGUCCGGAAUUAUUGGGCGUAAAGGGCUCGUAGGCGGCCAACUAAGUCAGACGUGAAAUCCCUCGGCUUAACCGGGGAGCGGCCUCUGAUACUGGAUGGCUUGAGUUCGGGAGAGGGAUGCGGAAUUCCAGGUGUAGCGGUGAAAUGCGUAGAUAUCUGGAGGAACACCGGUGGCGAAGGCGGCAUCCUGGACCGACACUGACGCUGAGGAGCGAAAGCCAGGGGAGCAAACGGG